UACGUAGGGUGCGAGCGUUAAUCGGAAUUACUGGGCGUAAAGCGUGCGCAGGCGGUUCGUUGUGUCGGUGGUGAAAGCCCCGGGCUUAACCUGGGAAUGGCCAUGGAAACUGGCGAACUGGAGUGUGGCAGAGGGGGGUGGAAUUCCGCGUGUAGCAGUGAAAUGCGUAGAGAUGCGGAGGAACACCGAUGGCGAAGGCAGCCCCCUGGGCUGACACUGACGCUGAGGCACGAAAGCGUGGGGAGCAAACAGG
rnacentral:rRNA from 1 species